GUGAAAACGCCCUCUCUCUCCUAAUAAAGAGAAUGAGGAGCCGGUAUCAGGCUCAAUACGCCCAUGACACCUAGCCCCGCCACACCCCCAAGGGUAUUCAGCAGUGAUCAACAUUGAAAACUAGCGAAAGCUAGAUUCAGUUACUAGCUAAAAAAACCGGUCAAUCUCGUGCCAGCCACCGCGGUUAUACGGGCAGGUUUAAAUUGAUGACAUCGGCACAAAGCGUGGUUAAAUUCUUACCUUAAUAAAGCAAAAAAAAAGCCCGGCUGUGACAUGCUUUCGCUUUUAAUAACCUCAAUCACGAAAGUAGCUUUAACUAUUAUUGAACCCACGAUCGCUAGGGCACAAACUGGGAUUAGAUACCCCACUAUGCCUAGCCCUAAACUUUGACUACCUCCGCCUGGGAACUACGAGCGUUAGCUUAAAACCCAAAAGACUUGGCGGUGCCCUAUACCACCUAGAGGAGCCUGUUCUAUAAUCGAUAAUCCCCGAUUCACCUCACCACCUCUUGCCAAUACCGCCUGUAUACCUCCGUCGCCAACUGACCCCUCAAGGGGAAUAGUCGGUUUAAUGGCCUUUUUUCCAGUAAGUCAGGUCAAGGUGCAGCGAAUGAGGUGGGAAGAAAUGGGCUACAUUUUCUACUAAUAGACUAUACGAAAGAUCACUAUGAAAUCUGAUUGGAAGGUGGAUUUAGCAGUAAAAAGAGACUAGAGCGCUCUUUUUAAGUUGGCUCUAGGGCGCGCACACACCGCCCGUCACCCCC
rnacentral:rRNA from 1 species